rnacentral:rRNA from 1 species
AAUGAACGCUGGCGGCGUGCCUAACACAUGCAAGUCGCACGAGAAAGGGGCCGCAAGGUCCUGAGUAAAGUGGCGAACGGGUGAGUAACGCGUAGGUAACCUGCUCUCGAGUGUGGAAUAACCUGGCGAAAGCCGGGCUAAUACCGCAUGACGUCCUCCGGUCCCUGGGUCGGAGGAACAAAGGUGGCGAGCUUCGAGCGCUGCCGCUUGAGAAGGGGCCUGCGUCCCAUUAGCUAGUUGGUGGGGUAACGGCCUACCAAGGCGACGAUGGGUAGCCGGGCUGAGAGGCUGUCCGGCCAGACUGGAACUGAGACACGGUCCAGACUCCUACGGGAGGCGGAAGUGGGGAAUAUUGCGCAAUGGGGGAAACCCUGACGCAGCGACGCCGCGUGGGCGAUGAAGGCCUUCGGGUCGUAAAGCCCUGUCGAGCGGGACGAACCGUGCGAGCUCUAACAUAGCUCGUGCCUGACGGUACCGCUUGAGGAAGCCCCGGCUAACUCCGUGCCAGCCGCCGCAGUAAUAC